rnacentral:rRNA from 1 species
UAACGGUCCUAAGGUAGCGAAAUUCCUUGUCGGGUAAGUUCCGACCUGCACGAAUGGCGUAAUGAUGGCCAGGCUGUCUCCACCCGAGACUCAGUGAAAUUGAACUCGCUGUGAAGAUGCAGUGUACCCGCGGCAAGACGGAAAGACCCCGUGAACCUUUACUAUAGCUUGACACUGAACAUUGAGCCUUGAUGUGUAGGAUAGGUGGGAGGCUUGGAAGUGUGGACGCCAGUCUGCAUGGAGCCGACCUUGAAAUACCACCCUUUAAUGUUUGAUGUUCUAACGUUGACCCGUAAUCCGGGUUGCGGACAGUGUCUGGUGGGUAGUUUGACUGGGGCGGUCUCCUCCUAAAGAGUAACGGAGGAGCACGAAGGUUGGCUAAUCCUGGUCGGACAUCAGGAGGUUAGUGCAAUGGCAUAAGCCAGCUUGACUGCGAGCGUGACGGCGCGAGCAGGUGCGAAAGCAGGUCAUAGUGAUCCGGUGGUUCUGAAUGGAAGGGCCAUCGCUCAACGGAUAAAAGGUACUCCGGGGAUAACAGGCUGAUACCGCCCAAGAGUUCAUAUCGACGGCGGUGUUUGGCACCUCGAUGUCGGCUCAUCACAUCCUGGGGCUGAAGUAGGUCCCAAGGGUAUGGCUGUUCGCCAUUUAAAGUGGUACGCGAGCUGGGUUUAGAACGUCGUGAGACAGUUCGGUCCCUAUCUGCCGUGGGCGCUGGAGAACUGAGGGGGGCUGCUCCUAGUACGAGAGGACCGGAGUGGACGCAUCACUGGUGUUCGGGUUGUCAUGCCAAUGGCACUGCCCGGUAGCUAAAUGCGGAAGAGAUAAGUGCUGAAAGCAUCUAAGCACGAAACUUGCCCCGAGAUGAGUUCUCCCUGACCCUUUAAGGGUCCUGAAGGAACGUUGAAGACGACGACGUUGAUAGGCCGGGUGUGUAAGCGCAGCGAUGCGUUGAGCUAACCGGUACUAAUGAACCGUGAGG